AACUUAUCCAGAGAAGUUGAGGGAUUUGGCCCAUUGAUACUUCAGCAACAGACUUGCAUGUCGAGUACUGUGCUUCGUCCAACAAGUAAUAUGACUUGAAAGAUAGGUG
rnacentral:ncRNA from 1 species